GAUGCUGGCGUAAUGGUCGCCGGCGACCCGUCUUGUAACACGGACCAAGGAGUCUAACAUCUAUGCGAGUGUUUGGGUGUCAAGCCCGAGCGCGUAAUGAAAGUGAACGGAGGUGAGAGCCUUUUAUUAGGUGCAUCAUCGACCGAUCCUGAUGUCUUCGGAUGGAUUUGAGUAAGAGCAUAGCUGUUGGGACCCGAAAGAUGGUGAACUAUGCCUGAAUAGGGUGAAGUCAGAGGAAACUCUGAUGGAAGCUUGUAGCGGUUCUGACGUGCAAAUCGAUCGUCGAAUCUGGGCAUGGGGGCGAAAGACUAAUCGAACCAUCUAGUAGCUGGUUUCCUCCGAAGUUUCCCUCAGGAUAGCUGGAGCUCACGCGCGAGUUUUAUCGGGUAAAGCAAAUGAUUAGAGGC
rnacentral:rRNA from 1 species